GGUCCCGCCUGCCCAGUGACACUUAGUUCAACGGCCGCGGUAUUUUGACCGUGCAAAGGUAGCGUAAUCACUUGUCUUUUAAAUGAAGACCUGUAUGAAUGGCAUAACGAGGGCUUAACUGUCUCCUUCCCCUGGUCAAUGAAAUUGAUCUCCCCGUGCAGAAGCGGGGAUAAAACCAUAAGACGAGAAGACCCUAUGGAGCUUUAGACACACAGGUGGACCAUGUCAAAUACCCCCAGCUAAGGGCCUGAACUAAAUGGAACCUGCCUUGAUGUCUUCGGUUGGGGCGACCAUGGGGAAUACAAAACCCCCACGUGGAAAGGGAGCACACCCCUAAGUUACUUCUUCUCCCGCAAGCCAGAGCAACAGCUCUAACAAGCAGAAAUUCUGACCAAACUGAUCCGGUAAAACCGAUCAACGAACCAAGUUACCCUAGGGAUAACAGCGCAAUCCCCUUUUAGAGCCCAUAUCGACAAGGGGGUUUACGACCUCGAUGUUGGAUCAGGACAUCCUAAUGGUGCAGCCGCUAUUAAGGGUUCGUUUGUUCAACGAUUAAAGUCCUACGUG
rnacentral:rRNA from 1 species